UCAUGAUCUCCUUUUACAUGUGUUCCCUCCAACUGGUCACCACCCUGUGUCACCACUUGCACUUUGCAAAAGAGGAAGCUGAUGCAGAAGGCGUGAGAAGUCUGAGGAACAGAUAGAGCUGAGAGGUGAGGAAACUGAGGCCAACAGAGAUGCAGAACUUUCCCAGUGUCACCAGAAUGUAAGUGGUGGAGCCAGGACUGGAGGACUGGAGGAAAGGCCCUCAAGUAACCAGCCUCAAAAGCAGGAUGCAGCUAAUUGAAUGGGACGGUGACGAUUCCUUCUUCAGUUGGUCAAACAGCUAAAUCCGCCUUCGAACCUGCGGCCGCGCAGCUCCCGUGACGUCCGUUUCUGCCUGUUUCGGGUUUGGGGGAUGUGCAGCCACACACCUUCCCUGUCUGUGCUCCAAGCCCACUAACAGCCCGUUCACACCACUCCAAGUUCAUUACUGCAGAGAGGUGGGAGCACGUAAGGGGAGUGAACCGGAGACUUAGGACUCAACUGCACCAGGCACCUGAUGAAAAGUGGAGAAGCAGGACGCCUGGCCGGCUCAGUUAAGUGCCAGAUCCUUGAUUUCUGCUUGGGUCAUGAUGCCAGA